AGUGAACGCUGGCGGUAGGCCUAACACAUGCAAGUCGAACGGCAGCACAGUAAGAGCUUGCUCUUACGGGUGGCGAGUGGCGGACGGGUGAGGAAUACAUCGGAAUCUACUUUUUCGUGGGGGAUAACGUAGGGAAACUUACGCUAAUACCGCAUACGACCUACGGGUGAAAGCAGGGGAUCUUCGGACCUUGCGCGAUUGAAUGAGCCGAUGUCGGAUUAGCUAGUUGGCGGGGUAAAGGCCCACCAAGGCGACGAUCCGUAGCUGGUCUGAGAGGAUGAUCAGCCACACUGGAACUGAGACACGGUCCAGACUCCUGCGGGAGGCAGCAGUGGGGAAUCUUGGACAAUGGGCGCAAGCCUGAUCCAGCCAUACCGCGUGGGUGAAGAAGGCCUUCGGGUUGUAAAGCCCUUUUGUUGGGAAAGAAAAGCAGCAGGUUAAUACCCCGCUGUUCUGACGGUACCCAAAGAAUAAGCACCGGCUAACUUCGUG
rnacentral:rRNA from 1 species